GGAAGAGCUUGGCCUCAAGGCUACAAGGGCCAAGCUUCAUUAAAGCAGCUGCCAGCACCGAGGGAUGGUUGGUGGCAAUCUCCGAGUGCGGUCAAUGCCCACGGUAUACACUACCCUAGGCCGAGGUGUUGCCUCUCCUUGAGAGGCCCACUGCCCAACGCUUCUGCCUCGUCGGAGGAGGAUGGGGACUCUCAUGGGGCAAGGAACAAUUACGGCAUCCCGGCAACUCUAAGACACCUCAGAUGCAAGAUGGCCACGGAUUUUACGUGCCCCUGGAAAAGACAACUAAGCUGCUGAUUAAAAUGUCACGCCACUGAU